rnacentral:rRNA from 1 species
GACGCUCUCCCCAAGGACGAAGCCAUGCAUGCCCGCUCACCCGGGACGCGGCGGACGGCUCAGGACAACGGUUGCACCCCCCGCGGCGGUCCCUGCUAGCCGGACACCGCUGGCAACCCGGCGCCAAGA